GACGACCAGUUCUGGAUCCCUUCCAAGCUGUAGCCUUUAUGUUCUUUUGUUCUUUGCAGUGCAUCUUGUUGCUGCUGGCUUUUUGGGUUCACAUUGCCUUUAUGAGUUGUAACACUCACUGUGAAGGUCUGCAGCCUCACCCCUGAAACCAGUGAGACCACGAACCCACUGGGAGGAACGAACAACUCCAGACAUGCUGCCUUAAAAGCUGUAACACUCACCGCGAAGGUCUGCAGCUUUACUCUUCAGCCAGUGAGACCACGAACCCACCAGAAGGAAGAAACUCCGAACACGUCUGAAUCUCAGAAGGAACAAACUGCAGACAUGCCACCUUUAAGAACUGUGACACUCAUCGUGAGAAACUGCGGCUUCGUUUUUGAAGUCAGUGAGACCAAGAAGCCACCAAUUCCAGACACAGCAGGACCGGGAGGUAGUCCACGUGAAACCCCUCUGGUUUUACUAACUGGCUCUUACUGACGAUGUGAAGAUAAUCAUAGGUCAACAGACGGCAUUGAGGACUAAAUGAGACGGCACAGACUAAAAGGGAGGAAGAAGAGCUAAUUUCUCUGGAAAUGAAAUCAAGCAGCUUUCCUUGUAUUGAAAGAUGGAGUCUUGCCCUGUUGCCCAGGCUGGAGUGCAGUGGUGCAAUCUCAGCUUACUGCAACCUCCGCCUCCAGGGUUUGAGCAAUUCUCCUGCCUCAGCCUACCGAGUAGCUGGGAUUGCAGGUGCUCGCCACCAUGUCCGGGUAAUUUUUGUAUUUUUAAUAGAGACGGGAUUUCACCAUGUUGACUAGGCUGGUCUCGAACUUCUGAUCUGAGGUGAUCCACCGUCAUUGGCCUCCCAAUGCUGGGACUACAGGCGUGAGCCACCGUGCCCAGCUGUCAUUCUUCUUUCUAUUGAACCAAAGUCAGUAUUUCUAUAAAAUAUUGAAAAAAAAAACCUGAAUAAUAUAUAAAUAUUGACAUAGAUUAUCUAUCUCCAAUAACAAUAAUGGUAGUUUUUUUUUUUAAACUAUAAGAGCUGAGUCUACUUACCAUGUAGUCUGUAUUCUCAGAUUUCCACUCCUCUACUAUUCAUUGACUUUGACUGUUCCAUUGCAGUUUUUUCCCCAACAUUUCCUCCAGUGAUGCAAAUAUUCCUGUUAAGGACAUCACUGUGAUAUUUUAGUUUACCCCUUAAAGUGAGAUGCUCUGAAACCAAUAAAAUUGCAACUGCACAUUUAAGUUUGAGUCCAGGAUCUGUUGAAUUCUUUUGCUUAAUAGCCCAAUAACUUUUCCGGUUCCAAGAUUCUGUGAUUCUAUAAGACCAGUAGUGUCACUUUAGUGCCCCCUUGACAUGGUUUCAUUCUCAACAUGGAACGCUCAUUACUCCAUGUUAUGUAAACAUAACACCAUGUCAGAAAACAUCAGUUGUUGCCUUUCCACAGAUAACGGAUAACAGCUGUUUGUCUGACAACAUAGAUGAGUUAGUGCCCUGUGUGACUUCAGAGCCCUAAAACAGCUUUUUGUCUUCAGCAUAAAGAUGACGCUUCACUCUUUGAAGACUCAGAUUACAACAUUUCAUAAGGUGAAGAUAGUCAGACUUCAGAAACAUUGUAUUUUCCUUUCCUGGCCUGUUGUGUCAAAACCAUGUGGUAAUUUGCUUCUCUAUGCUGUUGUGAAAGGUUAUUUCUUGAGUUAGCUUCAGAGAGUUUCUAUGUGGUCAAUUAUUUUUGUUUUCUAUUUAACUCUCAGGCUGUACAUGUUUCUUAUCUUUUUAUGGCUGCAUAAUGCUUCUGAUUCAUCUACCAAAACUUUAGCAUAUGAUAGGAACAUGUUCUCUCAUAACAUGUUAAUAGGGUCAGAUAAAUAUUGGCUGAAUAAUUUUCUUUUGUAUGAUAAUUACAGAAAAAAUCCUGGCUCAUCAGUCUUUAUCCAUUUUCAGGAAGACUGUCCCACAAAGUUCUGUGCUUAAAGAUUAAAAUAAAGACCUACUGUUUUUAUUUGCAGAGAAAAUAAAGCUUGGAGAAUUUGUUUAACUGACACACUAGAGAGAGAUACAUCAACAUCAAUAACAACAAAAGAAAAUGUAGACAUCAACAUCUAUUAAAAUCCAUUUUAAUAAAAAACUAUCUUUACAAGGGUUUUUCUUUUACUUAUUUUCCACUCUUACUUCAUACAGGAUCAUUUUCAACAGCCAAUUACACUAUGCAUGCAAUUAUUUCAUGCUUUUAUGUUUUUGCCUCACUCAUUCCCAUUGCCUAGAAUGUCCUUCUCAUUUUGCCAAACGAAGUCUAGCUGCCUUUUAGAACUUUCUCUAAUAUCCCCUUUUUUCACUGAACCUCAAAACAUAUGAAUAAAUUUAUAAAUAUGUGUAACUUCUAUAAACAAGUAUAUAUGUCUUCUGUGUUCCUCUGAGCAACACAGGUGAGCAAACUGUGUUGCUCAGGGGUCAAAUGUGUUACGCUAACCAAGGAUACAGUACUGACCAGGAGAUAUUCAGGCUUUGCUCUUAAGACCUUAUGCUGUGAUGAAGGAGACAGAUCAAGAAGCAAGCAAAGAAAAAUGAAUCAAACAAUUGCAAAUUGUGGUAUUUAAAAAGAAGUUUAAAAGACUAAUAUAGAUCAUAAAAGAGAGAAUGAAUUUUUGGAAGCACAGUGAUAAACAUUAACAUUAAGACACAGCGAGUAGCCAGAUGAAGGGGGGCAUGGUUCAUGGUAGUGGUGGAGAUCAUCCAGGUGGAGAAAAGAGCUUCACAUGUUAAAGAAACUGGAACAAGAAUGGGUAUAGUGUGAGCAGCAUAAGCAAAGAAUAGUGAGGCGGGAUGAGUUUAGAGGCCUAGGCAGGCUCAUUCAGAGCCUUUUGAUGGGCAAACAUUUUGUUUCACUAUUUUGGGGGUAGUUACUAAAACCUUUAAAGUAUGCCUCACUUUGUUUUGAUAUAAAAUUAAUAUAAAGUGGUCAGAUCUUCAGCAUCCAGCUAGAUUAGUUUUGGAGGUUGUAAGCUAUUGGUACCACUACCUAAAACAAAAUAUAGAUUACACUCAUAUUGUAUGAUUAGAAAGUUAACCCUUCCAGAACAUUCCCUUGGACUUGUUUCCAGUCAAUUUUCCCCUUGUCCGCUAACUUCCAUCUCCCUCAUAGCAACCACAAUUCUGAUUUUUCUUAUUACUAGUUUUGUUUCAUUUGGAUUUCAAUGAAAUAGAAUCAUACAAUGAGUGUAAUCUAAUUUUUACAAGUUAAAAAUAUCACACUUGUGUACAGAAAGGUGCAACUUUACUAAGUAAAAUUUAGGGUAUACCAUUCAGAACACAACUUCAACUGUUCAGAUGUAUAAUUGUGUACACAUAUCUACACACAUGGCACACUAAAUUAACAUGGUAGUCAACAGAACUGUACAGAUUUGAGAUCACUUGUAUGAAAGUUUCUGAAACUUGCUCAUGUAUCAUAUGGAGUGUUUGAAAGAAAGGGAGGAACUUUAAUGUCUCCAUUGAUAUUCUGCAUGGAAAACUGAGAUUAUAGAAGGCAGGUCACAGUAGUGCAAAUCAAAAGAUAAAUUCUGGAAAGUUGUGUUUGAGAUACAUAUGGGAUGAUUCCAGGGCUAUAGAAAGUUUAGAUAUAAAAAUAUCACCAAGAAUUCUUGCCUAAAUGUAUAAAUCUAGUAGUGAUUAGUAUAAGAAUAGUGAUUAAUUCCUUGGGAACUGUUAGGUUGGUGUAAAAGUAAUUGCUGUUUUGCCAUUACUUUCAAUUGGCAAGAAAUGCAAUUACUUUUGCACCAAACUAGUAAUAACUUUAUUGGGAGCAGGUGGUGGCAGGAGUAUAAUAAAGUGACUAUGACCAAACCCUGAGGAAAUCCAAUUUACAGCAACCACAAUUUACAGAUUUGAGAUUGAGGGGAAGACAUCACAGGAAAAUAAUGGGGG